rfam:Takifugu rubripes chromosome, Chr_3
GCAGGUACGGAGACAUGGUCCCUAACACCAUCGCCGGGAAGAUCUUCGGCUCCAUCUGCUCCCUCAGCGGCGUCCUGGUGAUUGCCCUGCCAGUACCGGUCAUCGUCUCCAAU